rnacentral:lncRNA from 1 species
CCUACGGCUCCGGGAUGUAGGCGGCCAUGGCGAUCUCGCGCCUGCGCAUCCUCCCCCUCCCCUCCUCGUCGUCGUUCUUCUCCGCGCCCUCGCCUCCCCCCCACGCAAGCCGCCGCGAGAGGCGGCCUCGAUCCCUCGCCAGGUUCCGCUCUCUCCCUCCCUCUCUGGAUUCCAUUUCCUGGGGCCUCGACCCCCGCGCGCGCGCCCGCCCCGCCGUCGCUUCCCCGUCCCGCGGCUCCAUCCCGUGGCCCGUCGCCGGCAAGCCGCCGGCUGCGAGGAAGAAGGCAGGCGCGGCGCUCGGCACACCACUGGUUCGGGGCUCCUGAUCUGCUUUCUGUUUUAAAAAAAUUUCCCGGUGCUGGGUUCAGGAUUUUUACAGUUACUGUUGGAGGCGGGUUGAUAGGAUUUGGAUCUGCGCGAACGGGAGUUUUAGGGAGGGAGGGAGGGAGCAGAUUCAGGAAUCCGCAUGAUUGAUUAGCUGAUGGUCAGGGUAGGAGAAGUAGGACGAUUAGCGGAAUGGUAUCGAGGCCGCCCCUGUAGCUAGAUCUCGUCGCCUGGGGAGAGGAGGCGCGGUUGGAUCGCUCCGCUGCCUUGGCCCUGGAGAACUGCCUUCGCUUGGGGAUGCGAGAUGAAGGCAGCUGGGCUGCUUGAUUCAAGUCAAAUUAGCACGGGGCUGAUUCUGAAUUCCUAAUAGCUACAGUACUACAGACAGCCAUAUAUUCAGGCUAUGGUUCAGAGUCUGCAUUGCAUGAAGAGAACUGAAUGAUGGUAGUUCAGUACAAACCAAGCAGGCUGUUAAUCCCAACAACAGAAUUUACAACAAGAAGCUUGAGUGAUGUAUUUCCUGAAUGCCUUGGUAUUUUUCAGUUAGUUCUAGAGGGAUCAGUUGCUAGUUUGUAGCAUUAGAGAAUUGUGAAGCGAAGGACGGAAAUCAUGGAUUAAGAAUAGAAGAUGGUAUUGAGUAUUGCACAAUUAAUAUAACCGUGGUAUAUAAUCGUCGACCAUCAUUCAGUUCUAAAGAAGUUCAGUAAAUGUGUACGUCCCAUUCUGUAAAUACAAUAUUUUACAAACAAUUUAGAUACAACAACCUGAUCUUUGUUUUCCUUUUCACAAGAAGCUAUUUUUGGCUUACAUGAAGGGAUGCAUGCUGUUCAUCUUGCAGGUAUGACUCAUCCUCGCAUUCUUACUUCGCCUUUGUUUCCUUCAGCUUCUUGAUCCUGAAAUUUUAAGAUAAAUUGGAAGUACUCAGUAUCAUGUUCUUAAGCAAAGCUACUGUUUUUUGGUUGAAUUAUAGUGUUUUCUCUGACCUAUGUAUAGUGUCAAUAAAAAUCUAAAUUACAAGAUGGAGAUACAUUUUUUGGUGGCAUCUUACAUCACAGUAAUUUACAACCAAGAUAGGCCUACAAUGUCUUUUUGAUAGCAACGAUAAUGCAUAGCUGCAGAUUUUGUCGAAUACACAUAUGUAUUUUGUAUGCAUGACAAAUACUGGGGUAAAAUAGAAUAACAAGUAAAUCAUUUAUUUUGUCUUCAUAUUUACUUGAAGGACUGCAUGUUCUUCAUCUUUGUAUGCACCAUGUAUUUGCUUGUAAGCUUCAGUAGUGUCAUCUAUCUAGUCUGAUUUAUACACUACAUUCCUAAGCUGAAAUAUUUUUUGUAACUGAAAUAUAUAGUUUGAGUUUCAUUCAGUUAUUUUUCACUUUUUAACUGAAUAUCUUUUUGUAACUGAAAUAUACCUGCACUUACAAUGCCUUACUCAUAGGGUUUCUUUGUAACUGAAAUAUAAGCUCUGUCCAGUAAGCAUUUCUUCACCCUUGGGCAACUUUGCACAAAUGGACUGUGUAUUACACUCCAAGUGCUUCUUUUUGUUAUGGAUAGUUCGGUCUAUGAACCAUGUGAUCAAUGUUUGAUUUCAUACUGCUGUAUCGUUGUCCUUUGCUGCAUUUGAUGGACUUGUAAACUAUCUCUGCAGCACAAAAUUUGACCAUGGAGAUGACUAACAUGGCUUCUCUGUCUUAUGCUCUAUUUGUCAGUGAAAAAUCUUGCACCUUGACCGACAGAAUUAAGAGGGACUAGAAUGGGGAAGGACCUCUGCUAUAUCACGAUGGAACUGGUUACUUGAAUGUGAAUGGCCAACUCCAUGCCAGCUAUCUUUUAAUCUUACUAUGCUUUUGCAUUAUCUUCUUCAGUGAGAAGUUGUUAUAUGCUAGAAGACUAGCUUCAAACUCAAUUUAGAACAGACCUAAAUGCAUUCUUUGUCCAGUAGUUAAUUUGGACAUGCCACUUUCUGGCUUGCUCAUAAAUAUCUUGGCUGUUUUGACCCUCAAGCCGUCCAUUAGUCCUAUGCUGCUGUACCAGUGCACCUGAUUUUUAUUCUACCAGUUAAUUCAAAAAUGCCUCUAGAUAUGUGCUUCAUCCACUUACUGCAUAUGAUAUCUCCCUAUAUUUUCCUGAACCAUUUAACUGAUUUUUGUUGUAGUCCAAAAUUAUAUGUUUAUGUUUAUUGCCUUUUUUAGUGUUGAUAUUUGAAAGGGAACAAGGCAACGUGUUGCACUCUUGCUUUUGUUAGAGCACUAUCUUUUAUUGUUAACCAUGCUAUGGUCCAAACUCCUCUUUAUUCUGCUCAUAUGAUAUUGCUCAUCUUUUGUUUUCUGUCCUGAUGCCUCCUGUAUUUAGAGUAGAAAUAUUCUUAAUUUAGUGUUUCUUGAACAUGGCCAGGGCAAUGGAUAAAAUCUACUUUGGAGAGUUGACAGAGGGAGCACAUGCUAAGUUGACUUUUUCCUAUGGAUUUGCUUAUCGUGAAGAUGCUUGCAAGGAUGCAAAGGGAGCAGAUCAUUUGGAGAGAUGCCACUGUUUGGUGUUUUUAUACAUUUUGGUUUGCUUGUAACUGUGUUUGCACUAGCUGGGAGUAAGUGACUUGGCAAGAAGUGUAGGUGUUUUAAUUGAAGGCCUGAAAACCAUGACAAUUUUGUAUGCUGUUACAGUAUGUGCUCUAAUGUCGCUGGUUUAUUAUAAAUCUUGGAUUAGUAAUGGUGUGUAAUGCUGCUGGUUUAUUGCAAAUAUGUGUUUGUUUUAGUUGUUGGAAUUGUAUGCAUAGAAUGGAAUUGGUGGCUUUUAUUUUUUCUAAUUCCUAAUUAGUUAGUAGUAGCAUGGGAAAAACCAAACGCGCUACUACUUCGUUAAU